rnacentral:rRNA from 1 species
CUCUAUAUGAAGUUAUAUGUAGUAUAACCUGCCCACUGAUUUUUUAAAGGCCGCAGUAUCCUGACUGUGCAAAGGUAGCAUAAUAAUUAGUUUUUUAAUUGAAAGCUUGAAUGAAUGGUUGGACGAAGAAUAAGCUUUCUUUAAUAUUGAUUUAGAAUUUUACUUUUAAGUGAAAAGGCUUAAAUGUUUUUAAAAGACGAUAAGACCCUAUAAAACUUUAUAAACAAAAUAUUUUUUCUAUUUAUUAAGUUUAUAACUUUAAAAUAUUUAAUUUUAUUAUGUUGGGGCGACAAGAAUAAAUAAAUUACAAUAAACUGUUCUUUUUUUAAUACAAAAAUGUUUGAAAUAAUUAAGAUCCUUUAUAUAAGAUUAAAAGAUCAAGUUACUUUAGGGAUAACAGCGUAAUUUUUUUAGAGAGUUCUUAUCGAAAAAAAAGGUUACGACCUCGAUGUUGAAUUAAAAUUUCUUUAUCGGUGUAGAAGCUAUAAAAGUAAGUCUGUUCGACUUUUAAAAUUUU